rnacentral:rRNA from 1 species
UACAGAGGGGGCAAGCGUUAUUCGGAAUUAUUGGGCGUAAAGGGCGCGUAGGCGGCAUGGCAAGUGGAAGGUGAAAUCCCUCGGCUCAACUGAGGAACUGCCCUCCAAACUGCUUUGCUUGAGUCCGGGAGAGGUGAGUGGAGUUCCCAGUGUAGCGGUGAAAUGCGUAGAUAUCUGGAGGAACACCGGUGGCGAAGGCGGCAUUCUGGACCGAAACUGACGCUGAGGCGCGAAAGCCAGGGGAGCAAACGGG